CGUGAAAUUGUUGAAAGGGAAGCGCUCAUGACCAGACUUGGGCUUGGUUGAUCAUCCAGGGUUCUCCCUGGUGCCCUCUUCCAGCCCAGGCCAGCAUCAGUUCGCUGUGGGGGAUAAAGGCUUUGGGAAUGUGGCUCCUCCGGGAGUGUUAUAGCCCAUUGUGUAAUACCCUGUGGUGGACUGAGGUUCGCGCAUCUGCAAGGAUGCUGGCGUAAUGGUCAUCAGCGACCCGUCUUGAAACACGG
rnacentral:rRNA from 1 species